CCUACGGGUGACAGCAGUGAGGAAUAUUGGUCAAUGGGCGGGAGCCUGAACCAGCCAAGUCGCGUGAGGGAAGACGGUCCUAUGGAUUGUAAACCUCUUUAGGCGGGGAGCAAGGCCGGGCACGCGUGCCCGGAGGGAGAGAACCCGCAGAAGAAGCAGCGGCUAACUCCGUGCCAGCAGCCGCGGUAAUACGGAGGAUGCGAGCGUUAGCCGGAUUUAUGGGGUUUAAAGGGUGCGUAGGCGGAUUUUUAAGUCAGCGGUAAAAGGUCCGGGCUCAACCCGGGCCGGCCGUUGAAACUGGGGAUCUUGAUUUGGCGAGACGUAUGCGGAAUGCGUGGUGUAGCGGU
rnacentral:rRNA from 1 species